CUUCCUAUGUGGCUUCACAGUACCACCAGCCUCAGCAAGGACACAGCCAUGGGAACAGGAGUGACAGAUUCCGAGGAAGAAGAAACAAUUCUAAGAGGCCUGUGCUCAAGGAAAGAAAUAGGAUAAUAUAGAAUACUCUCCUGAUCUAAGUUGGGUCAAUAUGGAAAAGGACAAAUCACCUAUAGGAAGAGCAUCUAAAGACAGGGGUGUGAUCAGUGUCUGGAAGGCUGGCAAUGUUAACACACCUAUCUGCAAGUAAGCCAAGUUGUCAUUCAACGAACAAUACGUGGCGGCCGAUACUGCCAUCUAGCGUCCAUUGAGACUCACUACAAAAGUGACAUAACCUCGAGGAACAAUGCCCCAGAUCAGGAAUAUGAGAGCUAACACCAUGCUUCUACAAUACUCUAAAAUACUCUAAUGUAUUGGUAUCAAACUCAAAUAGAAAUGGGAUCAUUAAACUGUACAUAAGAAUCCCUACAGUGCCAUAUUAAC